rnacentral:rRNA from 1 species
GACGAACGCUGGCGGCGUGCUUAACACAUGCAAGUCGAACGGAAAGGCCCUGCUUUUGUGGGGUGCUCGAGUGGCGAACGGGUGAGUAACACGUGAGUAACCUGCCCUUGACUUUGGGAUAACUUCAGGAAACUGGGUCUAAUACCGGAUAGGAGCUCCUGCUGCAUGGUGGGGGUUGGAAAGUUUCGGCGGUUGGGGAUGGACUCGCGGCUUAUCAGCUUGUUGGUGGGGUAGUGGCUUACCAAGGCUUUGACGGGUAGCCGGCCUGAGAGGGUGACCGGCCACAUUGGGACUGAGAUACGGCCCAGACUCCUACGGGAGGCAGCAGUGGGGAAUAGUGCACAAUGGGCGGAAGCCUGAUGCAGCAACGCCGCGUGCGGGAUGACGGCCUUCGGGUUGUAAACCGCUUUCGCCUGUGACGAAGCGUGAGUGACGGUAAUGGGUAAAGAAGCACCGGCUAACUACGUG